GUUAUAGGGUCAAGCGAACAAGUGCAUGUGGUGGAUGCCUUGGCGAUCACAGGCGAUGAAGGACGCGGUAGCCUGCGAAAAGCUACGGGGAGCUGGCAAACGAGCUUUGAUCCGUAGAUGUCCGAAUGGGGAAACCCGGCCCUUUUGGGUCAUCCUAGACUGAAUACAUAGGUCUAGUGAGGCGAACGCGGUGAACUGAAACAUCUAAGUAACCGCAGGAAAAGAAAUCAACCGAGAUUCCCAAAGUAGUGGCGAGCGAAAUGGGAAGAGCCUGUACUCUUUAUUUGUAUUGUUAGCCGAACGCUCUGGAAAGUGCGGCCAUAGCAGGUGAUAGCCCUGUAGGCGAAAACAGUAUGAAAGAACUAGGUGUACGACAAGUAGGGCGGGACACGUGAAAUCCUGUCUGAAGAUGGGGGGACCAUCCUCCAAGGCUAAAUACUCGUGAUCGACCGAUAGUGAACCAGUACCG
rnacentral:rRNA from 1 species